UGGGGUGCUACAAAUAGAGUACGCUAGUUAAGCUCCAUCGGAUAAGAGAAAAAAAAACUAAGCUAAGAAAGCUUGAUAGGAUAUCAAAAUGUCAUGUUCCUCUCUUCCGUUUCAGAAAAAGAGAACCCAAUUCCCUGUUCCUCUCUUUCGUUUCCCUUCUUGCUCAAAGCCUGUUCUAGUCUCGCCAAUCAUUGAAAAGGUAAAGAAAUUCAUUGCCAUGCUUUUAAAAAUGGGUUUCAUUCGGAUAUAUAUAUUUGCGCAAAAUUCGUUAAUUCAUUUUUAUGGGUCUAAUGGUAGAGUAGAUAUGGCUAAUUAUGUUUUUGAACAAAUGGGUUAUAGAGAUAUUGCAACUUGGACUAAUUUAGUUACUUCUUAUGUUAGUUUUCAUCCGAUUGAAUUGGCACGGCGGGUGUUUGAUUAAAUGCCCAGUAGAAGUGUUAUUUCUUAUAGUGCUAUGAUUGCGGGUUAUGUUUGAAGGAACAAAUUUAUGGAAGCAUUGGAGUUGUUUGGGGUGUAUGAAGAUUGAUUUUGGGAUUGAACCUGCCUGUUGGGUCAUAAUAUUUCAUAUUGGGCCGAGUGGGUUGGGCCCAUUUAUUUGAUUAAUCUAGCAGGUCAUUUCAUAUUGGGCUCGGUCAGUUGGGUCAACUUUGUUGGAUCUUUAGGAUAUUGGGUCUAUUCAUUGAACCAACCCACUAGAUAUUUUAAUAUCUACAUCUUUGACUUGUAAUGAUGAAAAGGCAUAACAGAUGACUAAGAUACGCCAUGCAUUAAUGUGGAUGGGAUUAUAGCCGGCCGGCGGCAUAAACAGUGUAGGAAAAAGGUGAUAGCCUGCAUGCAGUCGGCAGAGAUCACCGAGGAGUGGGGGGCUGUGUCAGACAGUAGUUGGUGGCAUGGUAAACCGGGUUAGAGAUCAGUAUAACAUAGCAAGGAAGUCUUCAAGCAAAAGGUACACACACACACUAACAACUGAAUUUUUUAUCUCUCUCAAUACACUAGAUAUUAUUAUCCUCCAUUGUUAACCCUUGUGAACACCUGUACUGACUCUCACGCCUGAGCUAUCCCCCGACGGUCGAAGCUGUCAAGAUUUUGGUGUUGACUGUGUUUAGUGUGCAGGAUCAGGACGUCUUACGUGAUUAGGACGUGGCAGAAGAUCUUGGCGUUAACAUUGGCGCUAGAAGGAGGGUUGUGUGCUAGUGUCAUUGAGUUUUCAAUCACAUUCAUUUAUUCUACUUCGGAAGAUGGUGAGGAGUAGAGUUGAUACACUAGAGGGGCAAGCGAUGGUUGUGAGUUCGUCGUUGCCUCGUGUUUCUGUUAAGGAUCGUCUGGGUCCUUCAAAAAGUGCUCAUGAGAGCAUGGCUUCUAAGCAUGAUUCUGGGGGUUCUCGUUCGAGAGCCCAUGGCAAAGCCAGAAGGAGGUUGAAGUUUGAUGAGAACAGAGAUCGUGAUCAAGACUGAAGGCAGAUAGAAGGUUCACCGUUUAGAACUCGCCACCGAAGUGGUCAAGAUGACAGGGCUGCCAAGUUGGCAAAGAUGGCAGAGGAGGCGGAUAAAGCUUUGGAUGUUCUUCUAAAGCAAAGAGAGGAUAUAGCCGAACAGAUACUUCGGGUUGCAGAGUUGAAGGACGAGGCAUCUACUCAUGUUCAAAUCGAGAGGCGUAGUAGGCCUAAAUAUGUGCAACAACGAGAAGGAAAGGAGCCAGAGCACUCUAUUCACGCUUCUCGAGGAUGACCUCAGGAACGAAGACGGUCAAGAAGUUGAACUCCCGAGGUGUCUAAGAAAGCACUUGUAGUAAUUGGUUCUCAUGGUCGUGGCGGUGAUAGACAGAGGGGUCGAUCGAGGGAGUAUGUACCUAAGAACUGAAGGAGAGAGCAUCAGCGUGAAUAUUCUCAUCAUGAGGAUAGAAUUGCAUGCAGGAGUAGAACCAAAAGUCCAACAAAAGCGGUGGGGUCAAAUAGAGGAGGUCGUUCUGCCCAGAAGCAGAAGGUUAUUCAGGAGAAAGAAGUCUCCUCACAACCAGAAGGUGUGGAUUUCUUAGUAAAGGAGUUGAAGGAGCUUCGGAAGCAGCUGGCUGAAGUUCAGCAGGUGAAGGACACUCCGGGAAAGAAGGCAUCCCCUUUUUCUUCGGAUAUCCUCAAGGAGAAGGCAGACACCACAAAGAAGCUGCCCUAUAUAGAAAGUUACGAUGGGUCUGGGGACCCUUACGACCAUAGCCAGGAUUUCGAUCUGCUGAUGGAUUAUUACGACUUCACCGAUGCGGCUAAGUGUCAUACAUUUGUUACGACGUUGAGGAAGGAUGCACGACAGUGGAUGGGGACCUUGCCUGCUGAUUCAGUAACAUCAUGGUCUGAGUUGUGCGACAAGUUCCAUGCUCGUUUCGGGAGCAAUCGAAGAAGAGGAAAGCCUACGGGUUCUUUAGCACAGGUCCGGCAGUUUACCAAUAAAUCCUUGGGCCAGUAUGUGAAGAGAUUCAGAGAAGCCGUUGGCCAAGUGUCCGACCUAAAUGAUCUUCAGGCUGUAGGGUUAUUUCAGAACGGGCUAGAUCUAGUGAAAUCCAAAAAGUUGGUGAAGAAGCUGAUGUUUCACCAUCCGAAGAACUUGGAAGAAGCCUUUGAUAAAGCCGAGGGUUACGUCGUGGUAGAGGAAGCUAUGAAUAGCCUGAAGCGCCCUUCUUCGGACCAUAUGAAGGAGGCAGAUACUCCUAGGGCCGAAAGCAACCAGAAGAAGACAGGGGGGGGUAUAAUGAUCGGCUUGAGAGUAGCUCAAAGAAGUACAACAACACAUGGCGACAAGGAAGUAAUCACCCACCUACUCCCACCCUGAAGGUGAAUAAGGUUUACACCAAACUAAACACGGAUAGGUCGGUGAUUCUGGAUCAGAUUAGGAACCAACCCUUCUUCGAACAACCUCGUGAUAAUUUCAAGCCAGGUCAGGGAAAUGCUCGGAAGUAUUGUGGCUAUCAUCAAGCUGCAGGUCACGACACAAAUGAAUCUUACAAUCUGAAGGACUUUGUAGAGAGAAAGGUUCAGAGCGGUAUGUUGGUUCAGUAUGUGGCCGGGAGGGACCAUCAGCAAGAGCAACAGAAUGUUGACCGUACUGUUCAGACAAUUCAAACGGUUCCACCCGUGCAACCUGCUCCAGAUCAACCGCCAAGGCACGUCAUUUAUGUAAUAAUCGGUGGGACGGCAGGGAAGUUGGUAGGAAAGAAGAGGAGGGGAUAUCUGGAUUCUGUCAUGUCUGUGGCGGGUGUUCCCCCGAAGACCGACAGACCGUUUCCUAGGACAGUCAUAUCUUUCACCGAUGCAGACUAUCCUUUAGACCACAUCGAACCUCAUGAAGGGGCAAGUAGGGUCGGUGGACGUGAAACGUAUGAUGAUAGACAACGGGUCUUCUAUGGAUAUUCUGUACGCCCAUGCUUAUCAGAGGAUGCAUCUUGAUGGGUGAAGGAUCGAAGUUGGGCAGGAGGCUCCCCUAUAUGGCUUCAUCAACGAUCCGGUCAGAGUGGCAGGGACUAUUGAGCUACCGGUCAUCUUCGGAACCGCUCUACAACAGGUAGAAAUAACGUGUAAAUUUUAUGUUGUGCAUGUAGAUUCGGCCUACAACGCCAUUUUGGGACGACCUACUUUGACUGCUCUCCAAGCAGUGACUUUCAUUCCUCACUUUAAAAUCAAGUUCCCAACAACACAUGGAGUUGGAGAGGUAGCAGGGGACUUGGAUCUGGCCAGACGAUGCUACAGAAAUGCUGUGAUAGCCUCAGGAGUAGGGGUCAGCAAGCAAAAACAAACCAUGGAAAUCGAGAUCGAGCCCUUCACUGAAAGCAGUUCGGAGCCAUCGGUUAUUCCUGCAGGAGAGACAGAGGAGAUCGAGCUGGUCCUCGGAAAGAAAGACAAAACAGUAAAGAUUGGUUUGGGUCUGCCAGAACCUCUCCGGACAAACCUUAUGGAACUUCUUCGCUGCUAUACGGAUAUUUUUUCAUGGGAGCCACAAGACAUGCCUGGAAUCAGCCGAAAGAUUGUCGAGCACAGACUAGACGUGGAUCCAUUAAAGAAACUAGUUCGGCAGAAAAGGCGGAUCUUUGCACCUGAGCGUCAGAGGAUCAUUGAUGAAGAGAUUGCCAAGCUGAUAGCUGUGGACUUCAUCUUUGAGAUCGACUACCCGGAGUGGAUGGUAAAUGUAGUGUUGGUGCAGAAGAAGAAUGGGAAAUGGCGAGUUUGCAUCGACUACAUAGACCUAAACAACGCAUGCCCAAAGGACUUUUAUCCUCUGCCUCACAUUGAUCAACUUAUUGAUGCGACUUCGGGGUAUGCACUACUAAGAUUUAUGGAUGCUUUUUCAUGUUAUCAUCAAAUAUCUAUGUGCAAGGAAGACAUUCUGAAGACAACAUUCAUCACACACCGUUCGGUGUAUGCCUAUAAGAAGAUGACCUUUGGCUUAAUCAAUAUUGGAGCCACCUAUCAAAGAAUGAUGAACUUUGUCUUCCAGAAGCAGCUCGGAAGGAAUAUGGAGGUAUACGUGGAUGAUAUGAUGUGAAGAGCAUGCUUGUCCAAAAGCACCUGGACGACCUAGAUGAAUGCUUUCAGAUUGUCCGUCAUCACAAGUUAAGGCUCAAUCCUGCAAAGUGUACCUUCGGACUCGGUGCAGGGAAGUUCCUGGGUUAUCUGAUCAGUCAAAGGGGCAUUGAGGCCAAUCUGGAGAAGAUCUAGGCUAUCCUAAACAUGAAGAUUCCUCAGUCAUUCAAAGACGUCCAACAUCUGACUGGUAGGAUUGCAGCUUUGAGGAGGUUCAUGUCCAAGUCAGCAGAGAGAUGCUUGUCGUUCUUUGAUACACUGAAGGGACCGAAGAAUGUGAAGACGUUCCAGUGGACUUCGGAGUGUGAAGACGCCUUCCAAGGCAUAAAGACAUAUCUAUCUUCGGCUCCUUUAUUGGUGAAGCCUGCUCCAUCCGAGACUUUGUAUUUAUAUCUGGCAUCCAGUUCAUUGGCAGUGGGAGCUGUCUUGGUUCGGGAGGCAGGGGGAAGCAGCAUCCGGUUUAUUACGUCAGUCAUGUUCUAAGAGAUGCUGAAACCAGGUACCCAAAUAUUGAAAAAUUUGCCUUUGCUUUGAUAAUUGCUAGUCGAAAGCUUCGGCAAUAUUUUCAAGGUCAGCUCCUGGUCGUCUACACGGACCAACCAUUGAAGAAGGUGAUGAGCAAGACAGAAGUUUCGGGGAGAUUAGCAGCAUGGACAAUGGAAUUAUCCCAAUUUUUUUAUUGAAUAUCCCCGAACUGCUAUCAAAGGUCAAGCCUUGGCCGACUUCAUGGUGGAAUGUUCGUUCUCCGAAGCAGAUGCUAAGCUGCCAGAAGCUGAAACGUCUGAUCGAGCAGUUGCAGUUCUUCAGCACAGUUAGAAUUCAUAGACGCUAUAUACAGAUGGGUCUGCUACUGCGGAUGUCAGUGGAGCAGGGAUUAUUUUGACAAGUCUGGAGGGAUUCAAGGUACAAUAGGCCAUCAGAUUUGGGUUCAGAGUAACGAACAACGAGGCCGAGUACGAAGCAGUGCUAGCAGGAGUUCGACUGGCGAAGAGUCUAGAAGUUCAGAAGCUGAUCAUUUACAGUGACUCUCAGCUAGUCGUCAAGCAAGUAUCAGGAGAUUAUGAAGCUCGUGGGACGAGGAUGGUCAAGUAUUUGACAGAGUUGAAAGACCGACUUCAGUAUUUCAUCUCUUAUGAUUUCAGGGCAUAGAGCGUAACGACAAUUCUAUUGCUGAUGCAUUGUCGAAGUUGGCCACUACGGAUGCUAACGUUUUCAAUGGGUUAGUUUAUUUGGAAGUUUUACAGCAACUGAGUAUCCAACAUGAAGCAGUGAUGUGCAUUGAACGUUCUAACUGUUGGAUGACUCCCUACAUCGAAUAUCUGGCAGAUGGCGUCCUUCCUUUGGAUCAGAUGCUGGCAAAGAAGAUCAAGUACAAAAGUGCCAACUUCGUUCUUAUUGAUGGGGAUCUUUAUCGAAGGGAAUUUUCAUCACCAUUGUUGAAGUGUCUGGUUCCAUCUGAGGCUGAGUAUGCUCUUUGGAGGUUCACGAGGGUAUUUGCGGUGACCAUAUGGCUGCUAAGUCAUUGGCCUAUAAAGUACUUCGGUAGGGGUACUACUGGCCUAUGAUCUUCAAGGAAGCUACAGAGUAUGUGAAGAAGUGUGAGAAGUGCCAGCUCAAUAGUCCAAUCCCACAUCAGCCACUAGAAGAGCUAUACUCGAUAUUAUCUCCUAUACCCUUUACUGUCUGGGGGGUAGAUAUACUGGUUCCAUUGCCGAAAGCUAAAGGUCAAGUCAGUUUUGUCAUAGUUGCUAUCGAUUACAUGACCAAAUGGGUAGAAGCGAAGCCACUUUGGUUGAUAACGGAGCAAGAAUGCUUGAAGUUCAUGAAGGAGUUCGUAGUGUUUCGUUUCAGAAUUCCUAAAGUUGUGAUAUCGGACAACGGACACCAGUUCGUGGGUUCGAAGUUUGAAGGAUUUCUGAAAGGGCUUGGAGUUCAGUACAAGAAGACUUCGGUGGCUCAUCCACAGUCGAAUGGGCAAGUUGAAGUGACCAACAGAACGUUGCUGAAUGGGAUCAAGCGUAGACUGGACGAAGCUAAAGGAAGAUGGCCAGAGGAGCUUCUCAGUGUGUUAUGGGCUUAUCAGACUAUACCGAGGACUAUCACAGGGGAUUCACCUUUCAGAUUGGCCUAUGGUACUGAUUCCUUAGUCCCAAUCGAGAUUGGAUCUCCAAGUCUUCGGGUUAGUCAGUUCAAAGAGAUCUAUAAUGAAAAAGGACUGAAGGUCAACUUGGAUCUGUUGGAAGAAGUCAGAGAGGUAGCUUUGGUUAAAUUGGCAGCUUACCAACGGAGAGUAGCCAAGCAUUACAACAAGGGGGUUAAGCUUCGUAGAUUUGAAGUGGGGGACUUCGUCCUCAGAGAAGUCGAAGCGUCUAUGCCUCAGAAUAUGGGAAAGCUGAUGCCGAACUUGGAAGGGCUGUACGAAGUAAUUGAAGUACCUAAGCCGGGAACUUAUCGGUUGAAGGCAUUGGACGGAUCCAAAAUCAAGAAUACUUGGCAUGCUGGCAGGCUUCGGAAAUAUUUUCAGUAGAGAUCGAGUCAGUUUAUCGGAAGUCUGUAAAUGGUGGUUCAUCAUCAAUAAAAGUUUCACUUUUUCACAAUUGAUCUUCUUCCAAUUAGUCCUAAGUUCACAAUGGUGUAAGGAGGACGNNNNNNNNNNNNNNNNNNNNNNNNNNNNNNNNNNNNNNNNNNNNNNNNNNNNNNNNNNNNNNNNNNNNNNNNNNNNNNNNNNNNNNNNNNNNNNNNNNNNAAACAAAUUCCAUAGUCCUUUUAAUAUUGUUUUUACCGCGAGUGGUAAACCAAUAUGCACCAAAGUAAGGAGGUAUGGUCGGACUCAUUGGCCAUUCGAUGGCAGCCUUAUUGUCAGGUGUGUCCUUAUGAAUUUGUUCUACCGCGAGUGGUAAACAAAUUUCACGAUCCUUAUAUAUUUGUUCUACCCCGCAUGGUAGACAAACGUCCUUAUAUACUUGUUUCACCCCGAGCGGUAAACAAGAUCCUGAUGGUGCAAAGAGGAUCAACUGAAUUCACUUUAAACAUAACCUGUCUCACACUUCAAAAACGAUAAGUAUACAUUACUUUAUUUUAUUCAAGUGUUCAGUUCAGUUCAUUCAGUUCAUUUCAUUUCUUAACUUAACUGUUAUAUGCCUUAUCUGAUUCAUAGUCUAAGUCAAGUUCAUUCAAGAUCACUAAUGUUGAAUUAUUGACAAGAAACGAAUCAAAACAGAAGCCAUGAUAAAGAAGGUUGAAGAUUCAUUAAUAAUCUCACUAUUCAUUCAUCCAUUCAACCAUAAUAUUAAACUAUUACAUGAAAUUAAAUUUUUUUUGAUAAAGUUCUUAAAUAACUCCCAAAAAGACAGAUAAUUUUCACAUAAGUCUUAAGAAGUCCUAAUAUUAGAAUGAAGCAGUAUCAGAUUCAGGCAUUAUCUUAAUCUUCGGAAUCGAGCAAGGUCGGAUCCACUUUGGCUGCAAUCAGUUUCUCCUUGCCUCGAUCCCUGCAGACUUCAUAACCUUCCGAAUAAAUCUUCAGGAUUUCUGUGUUGAGCUCAUCAGAUGCCCUAUAUUCCGUUUGUAUCUGCUUGCAUAGCUCUUUAGUCAGAGGAGGAUCUCGUUCCUUAAGCAUUUUGAUCUUGUCAUAAAGUCUUCGACGUUUGACUCUAUGCGCUUCCUUAUCAUCCUGAUCCUUUGCCUGAACUUCGCCAAGUUGUAUCGCCAAGCUUCGGUUGGCUGUCGUGAGUUCUUCAUUUUUGGUCUUCAAGACCAAAUUCUCUUCAACCAAGCCGACAUUCAUAUCAGUCAAUGAUUGCUGACUAACCUUGGUCGCCUUCAAUUCCUCUUCAAUUGCCUUCCGUUCGUCCUCAGACGCCUUCAGGCCCUCUUGGACUUGAGCCAGUUCUCUUCGAAGGCCCUCGUCAGUAUGAAGAAGACUUUCGUAUUAACUUCUCUCCCGAGCCAACGUCGCCUUCAGCAUGUUAUUUUCAUUUUGCAUAGCCUCCUCUUCGGCCUCAGCAUUUACGUGUCUGGGAUGUAAACGUCCGAAGACCGCAUUUGCCUGCAUAUAUUCAACAGUAUCCAAUCAGUUUCAGGCACUUAAACAGGGAUAAAAAUGUAUAAACAAAGACAAAACAGUCAAUUACCUUCGCGAUGUAGCUCAUCCCUUCGUCAAUCAGAUCCCCCAUCGAACUAUUGCCGAAUCGGUGAUCGUCAGUUUCCCGAACGAAAGCUUCGAAGAGAUGGAACGGGAAAUUGGCAUUGAACCAAGGCCAUAAAGUAGGCGACCCCAUAGCAUCAUUCUGAAAUUCUUGUGACGAGGGCCUCGGGGGGGAAGGCAUAGGCUGGUCACGAGUUGGUGAAAGGUCCAUGUAUACAUUCUUGGGGGAUGGAGACCGAGAAGGAAUGGGCUCAUGUACUGGUAAGGGAAUGGUUAUUGGGCUCGAUCGGCUAUCAGAGGGUUGUUUCCUUUUUCGUGACAGAGUGGGGAUAGGUUCGACUUGUUCCUCAUCAGAAACAUGAAUUUCAACUGGAUUUAUGGGCGAAAGAUUGGUUGAAGGAGGGGGCACUCUGAGCUCUUCAGCUGUCAGAGGUGUGACCUUGGUUCUUAACUUCUUAACUCGGAGGAGAUUUUUUCGAUCAUGAGCAGGAAAAUCAAGCAAACCUCCUCGAGGGGGGACUGGGUUGGAAGUUGAUAUAGGCUCGGGCACAGUUUCUAUUUCUAGGAUGGGCUUAGGAGAAUUUGGAGUGGAGAUGGAUCGAGGUUUUUGGAUGGCCGUCUUCUUCCGACGAGGUUGAAGAGUCUCUUCUGGUAGGGGAGGUUCAUCGAAUUCUGGUUCAUUUGUUAGAGGUUCAGCAUUGGUAGGGUUUUCUUUGGGGUAAGCUUCUAUCAGAGGAGUUUCAGUAGCUUCUGAAGAUUUUCCAGAUAGAAAUUCUUCAAACUCCUUUAUUUCUGAGGAAUUCGGUCUGAUCAAAGAUACUACAUAAAGUAAACAGUCCUAUGUCAGAAUUCGCAUCACAUAGAUUUCCAGAUUUAUGUAAGACAGAUUAAUACUUACAUUUGUGGUCAUACAACCACGCUUGCUUGGUAAGAAGUAAAUAAUUCCAUUCCUUUGAUGGAAAAUUCCCGAAGAGCUCUACCAUAUCUUUUUCUCUUUCUUCUGAGAUGUCUCCGAAGUCACCAGACACUUUUUCAUAAGUAACCCAGUUCGGCAAGGAUGCAAUUUCUGGUCCCUUAACGAAAAACCAUUUUUCGUGCCAUCCCCGGUUACUCGAAGGAGUAUUUACUAAAGAACGCCUAUCGAAUUUUUCACCUGUUUUCGGUGGUUGCUUGCUCAAAGGUUUGAACCCUUUCUCCCUAGAUUGGCCUAUUUUGUAAACGGUAAAGAAGAAGUCAAGGGUUGGUUCGACACCUACUUCAUGGCAGAAUGCAAUGAAAGUGAGGAUGUGAAUGUAGGAAUUCGGUACCAACUGGGCGAACCCAACACCGAUGAACCCUAAAAGGGUCACCAAAAAGAUAUGAAGAGGGAAUCGAACCCCCUUCUCAAGGAUGGUCAUAGGAACAACCGUCCAACCUUCUAGCCGUUGAUACAUUCUCACCCCGGAUCUAGGGGCUCUGACCAUGUGAGUAUCCGGAAUAUGAUACCGACUUCGAAUCCUUUUCAGAUCAAUUUCAGUUACGGUAGAAGGGGUGUUGGCAUGAGAAAAGCGUUCUGUACUCCUAUAGAAUUCAGAAGGAGUUGGGGGGGGGGGGGUUUGGAAGUGGGUUCUUGCUGGUUUUCGCACCUUUGGGAUUAGAGCUCGAGGAUUCUUUGUUGGGGCUUGGAUUUGGUGGAACAAUAUUAAUCGGUGUUACUAGAAGAGGUGAACCUUGCUCUGAAUCUUGGGAAGCCAUUGUUAUCAAUUUGCAGCGAGGAAGAAAGUUCGAAAGAGAGGGGAAGAGCUCAAGGGUUCAAAAUUCAAAUUGACAGGUAAAAAAUGUCAAUUUGGGUAAAAAUUACUUUUUAUACUGACGGAUUACACGAGUUACGAAGGCGGCACAUUUAAUGUCUGGCAAUGAUGGAGAAGUUGAAUGGGAAGGGUCCGGGUUAAGCUUCAGAUAUUUAUCAGCUUGGGUCUUUCCUUUGGGCUUCCAGUUUUAAUUUACCUCAUUAGUCCAAUUCCUUACCACUUGGGCCUUGAUAAAGUUUAAGUUGGGUCUCUUUUGAUUUUAUUAAAACCCUUCAUAUCAUGAGUUACCUAUAGUUUCUUAUUAAACUUUCUGUUUAAUAAAAAUCUAGGGGGCAAUGUUGGGUCAUGAUAUUUCAUAUUGGGCCUAGUGGGUUGGGCCCAUUUAUUUGAUUAAUCUAGCAGGUCAUUUCAUACUGGGCUCGUUCAGUUGGGUCAACUUUGUUGGAUCUUUAGGAUAUUGGGUCUAUUCAUUGGACCAGCCCAUUAGAUAUUUUAAUAUCUACAUCUUUGACUUGUAAUGAUGAAAAGGCAUAACAGUUGACUAAGAUACCUGCCAUGCAUUAAUGUGGAUGGGAUUAUAGCCGGCCGGCGACAUAAACAGUGUAGGAAAAAGAUGAUAGCCUGCAUGCAGUCGGCAGAGAUCACUGAGGAGUGGGGGGCUGUGUCAGACAGUAGUUGGUGGCACGGUAAACCGGGUUAGAGAUCAGUAUAACAUAGCAAGGAAGUCUUCAAGCAAAAGGUACAUACACACACUAACAACUAAAUUUUUCAUCUCUCUCAAUACACUAGAUAUUAUUGUCCUCCAUUGUUAACCCUUAUGAACAGAUGUACUGACUCUCACGCCUGAGCUAUCCCCCGGCGGUCGAAGCCGUCAAGAUUUUGGUAUUGACUGUGUUUAGUGUGCAGGAUCAGGACGUAUAACGUGAUUGUGGCAGAAGAUCUUGGCGUUAACACUGCCAUUGAGCAAUUCGGUUGUGUGGUUGAUUUUCCUGGUCGUAGUGGAAUAGUUAAAGAAGCAUUUGGGUUUAUACAUGAUAUGCCUUUUGAGGCUAAUGCUGCAAAUUGGGGUGCACUUUUUAAUGCUUGUAUGAUUUAUAAGAAUAUCAAAGUGGGCGAAUUAGCAACUAAGUGGUUAAUUGUUAAUGAGCCAUGGAACGGUGUGCUUUAUAUGGCAUUGAUGGGUUUGUAUAAUGAUGUUCGUAAAUGGGAUAAAGUGGCAAAAGUGAAAGGGGAAAUGAAAGAUAUUGGUUGUAGAAAAACCCCUGCUUGUAGCUUGAUUGAGGUGAAUGACAUCUAUUAUGAAUUUGUAGUUGGAGAUCAAUGUCACCAGUUAUGUUCCUUAUUUGGUGGAUUCUGCUCUUACUAGGAUUCGCAAAAUGAUACACAACAUAAAAUUAAAGAAAUCUAGAAUAUAGACUUCUGUGGUUAUAGAUAGUAGUAGCAUAUUAACACAUACAUGUCUCAAAUAGCUUAGUUGUUCACAUGUCAAGCUGCAUUUCAGUUCCCUGAAGAUGUCAUUCAGCAAACAGUCAACAUUUUUUAAUCAUUCAGUCAUAGGAAGGGGUAUAAAUUUGUCUACCUGUGCUACAUAGAAAUAGCCUCCAAUACACCCUCAUGUAAAUCUUUUGGCAAACUGCUCCGGAUCAUAUAAUUAAGGAUUACAUUGUAUACAGUGACUAAUAAGACAGUGGGAUAAAUGUUAAAACAAAUAAACCAACCAACCAAACUCUGACUGAGAAGAACUAUAAGCAAUGGUGUAGACUUAUGAUAAUUGCUCUUACUGCUAAGUUCAAAAUUGGGAUGAUUGAUGGAACAUAUACAAAACCAGAUGUGACUUCUCCUCUGUUAUAAUAUUGGGAAUGCUGUAAUAGCAUGGUUAUUUUUUGACUAUUAAAUGUGUCACUUGGGAUUAGUAGUGGUGUAGUGUUUCUUCCUAUUGCUAAAGAGAAAUUUCAGCACUUUGUUGAAACCAAUGCACAAAAAGUGCCUGUUACUUUGGUUCCUAGAACCACUGUAUGUAUUUUGUACAUCAGUACUAAUAAACUAUUAUUAUAUGUCCUUCCGUAGCAGUGUUUUGUUCAUUCACUUGAAUGCUCAUGUUUCAUUAAUGUACUUCUUUAUCUUCAAAUUUAUAUCCGCUUCACAAAAGAAGUAUCAUCUUUUGACAUUUUAAAAUCUAUAUGCAAAUUCCUAAGACUGAAAUAAAAUAGCAGUUUUUGUAAAACUAUUAUGCUUAUCGUCUUUUAGUUUUUUUUUCGGCUUGUUGAUGCCAAUAUAAAAAAUAAUAAUGCCAAUUUUUUAAAUUUUGUUAAAUAGCCUUCUGUAGCUUCAAUGUUACUAGAAUUUAGAAGUGCAUGACAAUCUCCUUUUAGUUAUGCAAAGCAUUUGACUAGCUUAAUUAUAACUUUAAAGCCUUUUAUGCCACCCUUGUAAUUUGUGUAAUAAAUUCUAUUAAUUGCUUUUAACAGCACCAAUGCAGGGGAGAUUCUAUUAAUUGCAUUUAACAGCACUAAUGCCUAUCUUAUGCUGGAAGAUUACAGCUGCUCAAGUCUGUAAUCUUUGCCAUUCAGGCCUAUUGGUCUGGCCUUUUCAUUCUUCCUGCUGCUACUCUCAAAGAACUUCAAUGCACAAUGAAGAGAUUUUUGUGGAAGGGUCUGACUUUACAAAGACAUGGUGCCAAGGUUGCGUGGAGUAAGAUCGUUGUGCCUUUGUCUGAAGGAGGAUUAGCCAUUAAGAAUCUUAAGGACUGGAACCGUGCCUCUUUCCUCUUGCUUUUGAAAGUUAUAAACCCUUUUUCUCUGCGGACAGCUUGGUUUAAGACUGUGCUCUUGAAGGAUAGGUCUUUUUGGUGCGCCCCUAUUCCAAAUGACUGUUCUUGGACAUUGCGUAAUGUGCUAAAAUUCAGACAUGUUGCUCUGCAGCACACUCGAUAUUGCAUUGGCAAUGGGGAAUUAACUAGCCUUUGGUUUGUUCCAUGGAGUGAUGGUAUGCCUCUAGCCUCUAACUCCUCUCAUCCUUUGAUUUCUAACUCUGGGCUGGGCCAUUCUGCUAAAGUCAGUAGCAUUAUUCAAAAUGCAAGUUGAAACCUGCCUUCUUUAACCCACCCUACUGUUAUUGAAUUUCGGCAAUCCUUUGAUUUUACUACUCCGUAUAACCCAGAUAGCCAUGAUUCAAUCUUUUGGAAUAAGUGUGGUUGCAUAGUAGCACACGGUAUUGAUUAUUGAUGCUUACGUGAGAAGUCACUCUGUUAUACUCAAUUAUUGCUACAGUAAUUGCUGCAUCAUAUCUCUCAUAUUAUUGAUUUAAUUAUUGUCACAGUAUCAUCUGCAUAAUAUUUUAUAUUAUUAAAUGAAUAAUUGAGAUGAUAAAGUUAUUAAUAUUAUUAUUUGCAAUAUUGACAAUGUCUAGAAGUUCUGUCAAUGAGAGGUUUGGUCACCUAAUUGCGCGCCAAUAGAGAGAAAUCCUUAUUGGAAAGCCCCCUCUUUCCUGGGAACGACCUGGUUGUUAAAUAUUGCGAUUUAUAAUAAUGAAUAAAUAUUGUUAAAAAUAUUAAGGAGAUUUUUAUGAAGUAUUUAUUGUAAAUUUUGCUUAUUUUAUGGACCCCCAUUUAUCUAUUUUUUAAAAUAAUCGGUAGAAGUUAUUUUUAAGGUGGGGCCCACUUGUGGAGGAAAGUCUUGGGGUGGGAUUUUAUGUUGAUCACGGGUAUUGAAAGAAUUGAAAAUCACACCAGAAUAAGAGAAUUCUUCUUCUAUAAUAUUGAGCGUAUUACUUUAGAGUUUUAGAAAGCUUUGAGCGUAGAAAACAAUAUAAGUUUUCUUCAAGAAUAUCCCCGCUAUACCAGUUGGAAUACUCUUCUUUUCAAGGUAUGGGAUGUUAUUUUUGUUCAAUAUUCGCUUGAAAUAAUAUUUUCUUCCAUACUCUUUAGAAUGUAAGUAAUAUUAUUUCGUUUCAGAUUUCGAAUUCUAUACUCGUUUUUAAAGUUUUGGCUUCUAAACUCCAUGAAAUUAGUAGAAUAUCCUUGAUAUUUGCGUUUCAUCCAGUAUCUUUUCAUGGAAAUAUUAUUCUCAGCAUUCUUGAUAAGUUUUUUAACUUUUUCAUGCCAAAGUACUAUUCACGGGGUUACUAUUCCCAAAGUACUAUUCACGGAAUACUAUUCACUCGAGUACUAUUCACCCGGGGUACUAUUUAUGAUAAAAAUUGAUUCGUUUUCGGUCUAAAUUAUUUUUGGUACAAUAUUAUUCUUGAAUUUUACUCCACAAAGUAGUAUCAUGUUGACAAUUUGGACGUUAUUGAUUUCUGAAUAAAUUAAAUUAUAAAUCUUUAAAAAUUUAUCCUUGAACUUGUUUUAUUGAAUUCUUAUAUCAUUGUCAUCGUCAUCAUGUUUAUAUUAUGUUGAAAGUCAUCUGUGGCCUGUAGUGCAUAGAUGAACUUGGUAUGAUUAUGACCAAGGAUUAUUCGGUAUAAUCAUGAUCGUAAUGUUACAAAUGAUGUGGUAAAAGUCCUCAUUGGCCCGUAGUGCAUUGAUGGACAGUUUUUGGCAUGAUCAUGACCAUUGAUGAAUACACGAAUAUCCUUGGCCCAUAGUGCAUGGAUAAUUUGUGGUCUUGAUUCUAAAGAAUAUCCUUGGUCGUAGUGUAGGGGUGAUUCGAUGAUGUGGAUUAUUUAUUAAGCUGAGUCUCAGCGAUAAAAGUGAUGAAAAACCUUUUAAAUCAUAGAAGAUAGUAGAUUUUAUGCUCUACUUGACUCUUCUAAUGGAUUGCUUGUUCCGCUGCAGUUAAACUUGAUGUUUGUUACAUUUUAUCAGUUUAACACUGUUGAAGGCUAACAAUAAAUUAUUCUGCAUUAUCUUAGUCAUAAUAUUUCUUACUAGGCUAGUUGAGCUCACCCUUUUGCUUUUAUUGUUCUCUUUAGGAAAUGAGAACGUAGCCGGGACUAGUAGGAGAACGGAGUGACGGUCCAUAUGAUAGCAUUAGUAGUCCUAACUAUUCUAUGAAAUAGUAUGAUAAUAAAUGUAUUGAGGACUCCAUUUGAGUUUGAAUACUGUCUAGAAGACAAUAUUCGAAUUAGAACUCUCAGUUUAUGUUUUGUCAUAUUUUAUACGACAGUUGUAUUAUUAAGUUGUAUUUGAAUUUUGUACCAUGUAUUUGACGACUCAAGAUGGUAAUGUAUACCUAUUUUGGGGGCUUCAGUGUUGGUAUCAAAGCUUAGGGAUAUGAUCAUUGGCUAAGAUGUGAGACAGGAACUAGGAGGGGAGAGACGGGGAAUUCCUUCGCUAGUAUGACCUACCUAAGUUUAUUUGGUAUUUAAUUGGUCAGUCAGAGUAUAGGGAUAAUAUGUGACAUGUCAAUUAACCCUUGUUUUGUGGAAGUAUUUGAAAAUGACAUCUGAGAAUGUUGAGAAUAGCAAUGGAGCACAGGAGACCGUUGAGUCACCACAGAUCAAUAAUCAGGAAAAUGUGUAUCAGGAAAGAAACAAUCCUCAUGCAAACAACAACAUCGAUCAAAUGAUGAACGAUGGAAUGUUCAGAGGCUUUAUGCAAUUCAUGCAACAUCAGGCGAGAGCGGCUCCUGUCCAAAAUGAAGGUGGAAACACUGGCAUCUCUCGGACGGUCACCGCUAAACAGUUCAAAGAGCUGGGAGCACUGGAGUUUUUUGGAGAGCCAAAACCACUUAAGGCGGAGAUGUGGAUAAAAGAGAUCAACAAGAUAUUUGAUGUCUUGGGAUGCUCCGAGGAGUAAAAGGUUCCCUUUUCCACCUUCAUGUUGCGAGCAGAGGCAGAUUACUGGUGGGAAUCUGUAAAGCGUACUCAACCUGCCGCACUGAAGAUGUCUUGGGAGAAGUUCCAAGAACUGUUCAACGACAAGUACUUUUCCGAAAGUAUUCGUCACAUGAAAGAGGUAGAGUUCAUUAAACUGGAGUAUGACCGUGUCUCAGUACAAAGCCAAGUUUGCCGAGUUGUCCUGGUUUACGUCCCAUUUGGUUGAUAAUGAGGAGAGAAUGACGUGAAUGUUUCUAAGAGGUUUGAAACCCGAGAUACGUCAAUACCUUAUCUCUCAUAAAUUGUGUUUGUAUUCAGAUGUUGUGAAUAGGGCUCAGUUAUUGGAGCGCGAUAAUGAGUCAACUCAACCAAGAGAGAGCAGUCGACAAAAUGAUAAUACCAAUGGUAGCAUUCGUCGAAGCGGUGACAACAAACGUGGAGGGAAUCAACAUGCCAGAAAUGGUAACCACUUCAGUGGUAAUCAUGGUCAAGACAAUAAGAAUGGAUAUUUCAAGAAAAAGGAGAUUCAACAAUGAUGGAAAGACGUCAGCACCAGCACUCGUUGUUAAGGAAUGAGAACGACCACCUAUCAUAUGCUUCAAAUGCGGAGGGGAGGGAUAUAUCAGUCCAAACUGUGUGCAGCAGUCCAAAAUGUGUUACAAUUGUGGAAGAGAAGGUCACCUAGCUCAAUUUUAUCAUUCAGGAAAGCCAAGUCCAGCUGGGAUGGAGGCACCAAAGGACGUUCCAAAAAAGUCAAAACUAGUAGUUCAAGGGAGAGCGUUUGUCGUAACCUCCCAGAAAGCAAGGAACCCGAACGAGGUCAUCACGGGUAAGUUUAUCAUAAACUCUAGCGAAGUCUAUACCUUAUUUGAUACCGAUUCUACCCAUUCUUUUAUUUCUCCUACUUGUGCUCAACGUUUAAAUUUGACUCCGGAGAAAUUAGACUUUGACUUAUCUGUUGAAACUCCGUUGGGAGAAACCUUCAUUACAUCCACUAUUUAUAGUCUUGUUUGGUUUAAAUUGGUACCCUCACAUUACCUAUCAAUCUUAUUUUAUUGAAAAUACUUGCAUUUGAUGUAAUUCUAGGGAUUGAUUGGUUAACUACUCAUCAUGCAAAAAUUGAUUGUUUUCAUAAGGUUGUUAGCUUUCAUAUUCCUAACCAACCUAUUAUGCGAAUUCAAGCAACCAAACCAUUAAAAUCAAUCAUUGUCAUCUCAAGCCAUAAAGCUAUUCGUUUAUUCAAAAACGGAUGUCAAGCUUUCUUAGCUCAUGUCACAGAUUUAAACAAAAUUACGUCAGUUUUGAAUGAUAUUUAUAUUGUUAAUAAAUUUCCUGAUGUAUUCCCUGAAGAACUUCCUGGCCUACCCCCAGAGCAUGAAAUUGAAUUUUGUAUCGACCUUGAACCCGGUACAAAACCCAUUUCCAAAGCCCCAUAUCGAAUGGCUCCUAUUGAACUUCAGGAGUUAAAGAUCCAACUGCAGGAAUUGUUAGACAUCGCUUUCAUUCGUCCUAGUACUUCUCCUUGGGGUGCUCCUAUUCUAUUCAUGAAAAAGAAAGAUGGGAGUAUGCGACUUUGUAUUGAUUAUCGGGAGUUGAACCAUGUCACUGUCAAAAAUAGAUACCCGUUGCCUAGCAUUGAUGACCUGUUUGACAAGUUGCAAGGCGCCAAAUUCUUUUCAAAGAUUGAUCUUCGUUCCGGAUAUCACCAAUUGAAGAUUAAACUGAUGACAUUCCAAAGACGGCUUUCAGAACUCGGUACUGACAUUAUGAAUUCCUAGUCAUGUUUUUUGGAUUGACUAAUGCUCCUGCUGCCAUCAUGGAUAUGAUGAACCGAGUAUUCAAGGAAUAUUUGGAUCACUUUGUGGUCGUUUUUAUUGAUGACAUCCUCAUAUAUUCCAAAAGUCAUGAAGAUCAUGAGCAACACUUGAGGCUGAUACUCCAAAAGCUUCGUGAAAACAAGCUUUAUGCCAAGUUGAAGAAAUGCGAGUUCUGGCUUGAGGAAGUAGCAUUCCUUGGGCACGUAGUAUCAAGUCAUGGAAUAUCUGUUGACCCGGCAAAGAUUGAAGCUAUUCAAAGCUGGGAGCAACCUAAAUCAGUGACCGAAGUAAGUAGUUUUCUCGGCUUAACUGGUUAUUAUCGGAGAUUCGUAGAAGGGUUUUCUCGAAUCGCUACUCCAUUAAAUCAGCUAACUCGAAAAGAUACAAAAUUCGAUUAGAGCGAGGAAUGUGAGAAGAGUUUUCAAGAACUCAAGAGGAGACUCAUUUCAGCACAUGUUCUGAAUAUACCAUCUGGCUCGGAGGGAUUUGUCAUCUACAGUGAUGCUUCAGGCAAAGGGUUAGGAUGUGUUCUCAUGCAACAUGGGAAAGUCAUAGCCUAUGCCUCUCUGUAACUCAAAGAAUAUGAGAGGAAUUAUCUUACUCAUGAUCUUGAGUUGGCAACUAUUAUCUUCGCACUUAAAAUUUGGAGGCAUUACUUGUAUGGGGAGAAAGUGGAGAUCUUUACGGAUCAUAAAAGCCUCAAAUAUUUCUUCACUCAAAAGGAACUCAACAUGCGACAACGAAGUUGGCUUGAACUAUUAAAAGAUUAUGAUCAUACUAUUCAAUACCAUCCUGAAAAAGCGAACGUAGUAGCUGACGCAUUGAGUAGAAGAUCAUAUGCGGGUACGACUGCGAUAUUGUCAAUGCAAAGGCCCAUUUUAUAUGACUUACAAAGGAUGGAGAUAGAGUUAAAGACUCCAGGGACCCAUGUGAUGAUGGCGAAUAUACGAGUAGAACCGACUUUAAUCGAUAAAGUUAAAGCUGCUCAAGCUACAGACCUGGAGCUGAUGCGUAUGAGGAAGAAAGUGCAAGAAGGUGCUAUGCCGGAAGCAAGAAUCGAUGAAGAAGGAAUACUUCGAGUCAACUCCAGACUUUGUGUUCCUAACGACCCUGAUUUAAAGUAUAAAAUCAUGAUGGAGGCGCACAACACACCGUUUGCAAUCCAUCCUGGGAGUACCAAAAUGUAUCGUGAUCUUCGUCAUACAUUUUGGUGGAGCAAUAUGAAGAGAGAGAUAGCGCUGUUUAUCUCAAGGUGUCUAACUUGUCAACGAGUCAAGGCGGAGCAUCAAGUACCAAAAGGUCCAUUGCAACCACUUGAAAUUCCAGAAUGGAAGUGGGAGCACAUUACCAUGGAUUUCGUUACUGGUCUUCCAAAGGUUUCUCAAGGCAUAGAUGCAAUUUGGGUCAUUGUUGAUAGAUUGACCAUGUCUGCUCAUUUCUUACCUAUACGAGAAACUUAUACACUUGAAAGUCUUGCUCGUAUGUACAUAAACAAGGUUGUAAGAUUGUAUGGUAUGCUAGUAUCUAUAGUUUCUGAUCGAGACCCAAGAUUCACAUCAAGAUUUUGGGUUAGUUUGCAAAAAGCUAUGGGCACGAAUUUAUGAUUCAGUUCGGCAUAUCAUCCUCAAACGGACGGGCAGUCGGAGAGGACUAUUCAAAUUCUUGAAGAUCUAUUAAGACUCUGUGUCCUUGACUUCAAGGGAAGUUGGGACAAGUUCUUACCAUUGGUGAAGUUUUCAUACAACAACAAUUAUCAAGCAAGUAUUGGCAUGGCUCCAUUUGAGGCGUUGUAUGGAAGAAAGUGUCGUUCUCCAGUAUGUUGGGAUGAGGUGGGUGAUGCAACGUUGUUGGGAUCGGAGUUGGUGCGUAUGACUACGGAAAAGAUUCAAACGAUCUGACAACAUAUAAAAACCUCACAAGAUCGACAAAAGAGUUAUGCUUAUCUUCAUCGAAAUGACGUGGAAUUUAAUAUUGGAGAUCAUGUGUUGUUACGUGUUGCUCCAUGGAAAGGAGUUAAGAGAUUUGGAAAGAGAGGAAAGCUUAAUCCUCGAUUCAUUGGCCCAUUUUUAAUCCUCGAUCAAGUAGGAACUAUGGCCUAUAGACUCGCUCUACCGCCAAGGAUGUCUCGUGUUUAUAACGUUUUUCACAUAUCCAUGUUACGUAAAUAUGUGGAAGACCCGAACCACAUUAUUGAGUUAGAACCGGACGAAAUAGCGGAAGAUUUAACGUAUGAGGAGGUUCCUAUUAAAAUCUUGGAUAAGAAUGAACAUAUUCUACGCUCCAAGGUUAUACCUCAAGUCAAAGUUUUGUGGAGAAACCACGAUGUUGAGGAAAUAACCUGGGAGUUAGAAUUUGAAAUGAGAUCAAGGUAUCCUCACCUCUUCGUCAUACCAGGUAUGUACCCUAAUUUCUAGGGUGAAAUUUCAUAAGAAGGGGAGGUUGUAAGACCCCAACUUUUAUGAAUAAAGAUGAAUUUUCUAUAAAUAUCAUUUUUGAAUAUUAUGGAGUGAAUUUGAUAUAAUGUUAUAGUUGUGGGUAAUAUUUAUAAAUUUUGCAAAGUACGCAAGUUGUUAUAUAAUAUUCGAUUAGUCGGGGAAUAUUCGUUUUAAUAGGGAAUAUUCGUACGACGGCACAAUCAUUGGUGGACCCCAUAACGAAAUUAUUGUCAGAGUUAGAAAACGACAAAAUUAUCUUUUUAUGAAAAUAACGGCGGAAGUUUUACCGUUAACUGUUGAAAUAACCUGUGUUAAAAGUACAGUAAUACACGUGAUUGCAUAGUAGCACACGAUAUUGAUUAGUGAUGCUUACGUGAGAAGUCACUCAGUUAUACUCAAUUAUUGCUACAGUAAUUGCUGCAUCAUAUCUCUCAUAUUAUUGAUUCAAUUAUUAUCACAAUAUCAUCUGCAUAAUAAUUUAUAUUAUUAAAUCAAUAUUUGAGACGAAAAAGUUAUUAAUAUUAUUAUUUGCAAUAUUGACAAUAUUUAGAAGUUCUAGGAGAGGUUUGGUCACCUAAUUGCGUGCCAAUAGGGAGAAAUCCUUAUUAAAAAGCCCCCUCUUUCCUGGGAACGACCUGGUUGUUAAAUAUUGCGAAUUAUAAUAAUGAAUAAAUGUUGUUAAAAAUAUUAAGGAGAUUUUUAUGAAGUAUUUGUUGUAAAUUUUGCUUAUUUUAUGGACUCCCAUUUACCUAUUUUUCAAAAUAAUCGGUCAAAGUUAUUUUUAAGGUGGGACCCACUUGUGGAGGAAAGUCUUGGGGUUGGAUUUUAUGUUGAUCACGGGUAUUGAAAGAAGAAAAAAAAGAAAGAGAUGAAAUGGAUGGUGGUGUGGUGUAUACUAAUGAUGUAGUAUUGAUGAGUGAGUUUUAUACACAUGAAUUGGAUAUAUUCGGGCUUAAUUUAUUGUUGUUCUCAAGUCUUUUAGAAUAGUUUUUAAUUGUUUGUGUCCAUUCAUGCAUGUUUUACAUUGUUUUGUAAGAUUUGGGACAAAAAUUACUUGGAUCGACGUUCGGGGUGGCUAGAUUUGCGUUUUUGGCUUGUCAUUUACACCGCAGUCACUUCAGAGACAAUUUGAGUAUUUCUAUGGACCUUAUUUCAUAACACUCAAAGAAUGAAAGUUGUAGAUCUACUUCUCCUCUUUCCGGAACAUCUUGAAUAAUCAAAAUCAGAGUUCGGACGAAAAAGUUAUGACCAUUUUCCCAAAGGACGUUGAAGUAGAAAAUGUCAGAAAAAGUGGUAGCGCCGGGGCGCUAAUUUUAGGCUUAAUUCCAGCGCCGGGGCGCUAUAAGGUAGUGUCUGAGCGUCGUUACCAGCGCUGGGGCGCUGGGGAAGAGGUUGGGUGCGGCCUGGACGCAUUUUGGGCGAAUUUUAACACCUUUUUGACUCCAAAUUGGAUUGGGUUUGUUCCUAAGCUCAAAAUUAGACUUGUAAUCUAUAAAUACUUGAUGUAAGGCAUAAAAUAAAGGGAGAUUACAUAGAUUAGACUAGAUUAAACACUCAUUUAGAUUAGAACAUAACCCUAGUUCUUAUUAGUUUUGGAGAUUGAAGCAACUUGGAGACCAUUGAAGAUCAAGAGCAAGAGCAAGAGGGGAGCAUCAGAUUUGCUGACAANNNNNNNNNNNNNNNNNNNNNNNNNNNNNNNNNNNNNNNNNNNNNNNNNNNNNNNNNNNNNNNNNNNNNNNNNNNNNNNNNNNNNNNNNNNNNNNNNNNNNNNNNNNNNNNNNNNNNNNNNNNNNNNNNNNNNNNNNNNNNNNNNNNNNNNNNNNNNNNNNNNNNNNNNNNNNNNNNNNNNNNNNNNNNNNNNNNNNNNNNNNNNNNNNNNNNNNNNNNNNNNNNNNNNNNNNNNNNNNNNNNNNNNNNNNNNNNNNNNNNNNNNNNNNNNNNNNNNNNNNNNNNNNNNNNNNNNNNNNNNNNNNNNNNNNNNNNNNNNNNNNNNNNNNNNNNNNNNNNNNNNNNNNNNNNNNNNNNNNNNNNNNNNNNNNNNNNNNNNNNNNNNNNNNNNNNNNNNNNNNNNNNNNNNNNNNNNNNNNNNNNNNNNNNNNNNNNNNNNNNNNNNNNNNNNNNNNNNNNNNNNNNNNNNNNNNNNNNNNNNNNNNNNNNNNNNNNNNNNNNNNNNNNNNNNNNNNNNNNNNNNNNNNNNNNNNNNNNNNNNNNNNNNNNNNNNNNNNNNNNNNNNNNNNNNNNNNNNNNNNNNNNNNNNNNNNNNNNNNNNNNUUUCAUUAGUAUCCCAUGUGCCUCCUCCACCAAAGUUCAAGAAUCCGGGUAAUUUUGCAAAACCAUGCCCAAUUGGAAGUCAUGUCGUCGGCAAAGCUCUUGGUAACGUAAGAGCUAGUAUAGUUGUGGAGUCAUGGUGGGAUGAAAAGGAGAAGAUAGAGGAAGAUUCCAUUAUGUUUAUUAAGCUUCAAUGCCCUAAUCUGAUCAUCGACAUAAUGGAGGAAACACCUAGUGGUUUGCCGUUCUUAAUGGGGAUCCUAUCUACAAAGAGCAUGCUAGGUGACUUCAAUUCAAGGGUUUUGCUAAUGGGAACCUCCCAAAAGAGACAUUGCUUCUAAUGGAUGGAGGGUUCCUCAAUUUUCAUAGGGGAAUUGGAUAGAGAAUUGAAGAAGUCAGGCUGAGACUAUAAAACGAGCGCUUAUUGGGAGGCAACCCAAGUUUAUUUUUUUUAUUUUUUAUUUCUAGUUUUUAUUAGGUUUUAUAUUAGCAGUUUUUGAAUUUGAAUUUUUUUAGGAUUUAAUAAAAUUGCUUCUAUCAUGGUUUUACAGGUUAUUCAAGUCAAAUUCAAGUGUGGUGCCCAAUUUGUUCUAUGUGCUUAGCCUAUUCUCCA
rnacentral:lncRNA from 1 species